rnacentral:rRNA from 1 species
GCUAGCUACAGGCUUAACACAUGCAAGUCGAGGGGCAGCAUGGUCUUAGCUUGCUAAGGCCGAUGGCGACCGGCGCACGGGUGAGUAACACGUAUCCAACCUGCCGUCUACUCUUGGACAGCCUUCUGAAAGGAAGAUUAAUACAAGAUGGCAUCAUGAGUCCGCAUGUUCACAUGAUUAAAGGUAUUCCGGUAGACGAUGGGGAUGCGUUCCAUUAGAUAGUAGGCGGGGUAACGGCCCACCUAGUCUUCGAUGGAUAGGGGUUCUGAGAGGAAGGUCCCCCACAUUGGAACUGAGACACGGUCCAAACUCCUACGGGAGGCAGCAGUGAGGAAUAUUGGUCAAUGGGCGAGAGCCUGAACCAGCCAAGUAGCGUGAAGGAUGACUGCCCUAUGGGUUGUAAACUUCUUUUAUAAAGGAAUAAAGUCGGGUAUGCAUACCCGUUUGCAUGUACUUUAUGAAUAAGGAUCGGCUAACUCCGUGCCAGCAGCCGCGGUAAUACGGAGGAUCCGAGCGUUAUCCGGAUUUAUUGGGUUUAAAGGGAGCGUAGAUGGAUGUUUAAGUCAGUUGUGAAAGUUUGCGGCUCAACCGUAAAAUUGCAGUUGAUACUGGAUAUCUUGAGUGCAGUUGAGGCAGGCGGAAUUCGUGGUGUAGCGGUGAAAUGCUUAGAUAUCACGAAGAACUCCGAUUGCGAAGGCAGCCUGCUAAGCUGCAACUGACAUUGAGGCUCGAAAGUGUGGGUAUCAAACAGGAUUAGAUACCCUGGUAGUCCACACGGUAAACGAUGAAUACUCGCUGUUUGCGAUAUACGGCAAGCGGCCAAGCGAAAGCGUUAAGUAUUCCACUUGGGGAGUACGCCGGCAACGGUGAAACUCAAAGGAAUUGACGGGGGCCCGCACAAGCGGAGGAACAUGUGGUUUAAUUCGAUGAUACGCGAGGAACCUUACCCGGGCUUAAAUUGCAGAUGAAUUACGGUGAAAGCCGUAAGCCGCAAGGCAUCUGUGAAGGUGCUGCAUGGUUGUCGUCAGCUCGUGCCGUGAGGUGUCGGCUUAAGUGCCAUAACGAGCGCAACCCUUGUUGUCAGUUACUAACAGGUUCCGCUGAGGACUCUGACAAGACUGCCAUCGUAAGAUGUGAGGAAGGUGGGGAUGACGUCAAAUCAGCACGGCCCUUACGUCCGGGGCUACACACGUGUUACAAUGGGGGGUACAGAGGGCCGCUACCACGCGAGUGGAUGCCAAACCCCAAAACCUCUCUCAGUUCGGACUGGAGUCUGCAACCCGACUCCACGAAGCUGGAUUCGCUAGUAAUCGCGCAUCAGCCACGGCGCGGUGAAUACGUUCCCGGGCCUUGUACACACCGCCCGUCAAGCCAUGGGAGCCGGGGGUACCUGAAGUGCGUAACCGCGAGGAGCGCCCUAGGGUAAAACUGGUGACUG